AGUUCUGGAACAUCCUGGAGCAGUGGCCACGGGGAGAACAACAAUGUAAGAUGAGCCAGGCUGGGCAUGGAAAAUAAUUCAGCUAUCCCAGAUCGCAAUAUAUGAGCAAACACCAGUUCCAGUAGACAUCGUGCAAGCAGUCAGACUACAUGAGGAAAAUGAGGCUAAAAGAGAGAAGUUGAAUUUUUUCUUUGCUGAGAAGAGAGCUAUUCUUUCCCCUAUGAGAAAAUGAGACUUUCACACAAAAGCUGUGUAGGAUCUGAUAAUGCCAACUUU